rnacentral:rRNA from 1 species
GACGAACGCUGGCGGCGUGCCUAAUACAUGCAAGUAGAACGCUGAAGGAGGAGCUUGCUUCUCUGGAUGAGUUGCGAACGGGUGAGUAACGCGUAGGUAACCUGCCUGGUAGCGGGGGAUAACUAUUGGAAACGAUAGCUAAUACCGCAUAAUAGCAGUUAUUGCAUGAUAACUGUUUGAAAGGUGCAAUUGCACCACUACCAGAUGGACCUGCGUUGUAUUAGCUAGUUGGUGGGGUAACGGCUCACCAAGGCGACGAUACAUAGCCGACCUGAGAGGGUGAUCGGCCACACUGGGACUGAGACACGGCCCAGACUCCUACGGGAGGCAGCAGUAGGGAAUCUUCGGCAAUGGACAGAAGUCUGACCGAGCAACGCCGCGUGAGUGAAGAAGGUUUUCGGAUCGUAAAGCUCUGUUGUAAGAGAAGAACGAGUGUGAGAGUGGAAAGUUCACACUGUGACGGUAUCUUACCAGAAAGGGACGGCUAACUACGUG